rnacentral:rRNA from 1 species
UUAAAAAGCUCGUAGUUGAGCCUUGGGCCUGGCUGGCCGGUCCGCCUCACCGCGUGUACUGGUCCGGCCGGGCCUUUCCCUCUGUGGAACCCCAUGCCCUUCACUGGGUGUGGCGGGGAAACAGGACUUUUACUUUGAAAAAAUUAGAGUGCUCCAGGCAGGCCUAUGCUCGAAUACAUUAGCAUGGAAUAAUAGAAUAGGACGUGUGGUUCUAUUUUGUUGGUUUCUAGGACCGCCGUAAUGAUUAAUAGGGACAGUCGGGGG